GGGCUGAAGAACCUUUUUCCACAUGUUGGAAUUGAGGAAUUUGGGAUUUUGGGAUUAAUCAUUAUCAUGCUGCAGGAAUGGACACAUUCUUAUCAUCAUCAGAAUUCAGGAUUUGGCAUUCAUUUUCUCAGGAAUUUCGGGAUAAGACCCCCCUUUUUUCCCCUUCCUAAUCCCCCCUUUUUCUUGUCAUUUGGAAAAGAAUACAACAUUCUACAUUUGAACUACUAAUCCUGCACUAAAGCACAGCUGAGUGUACUACUGAGAAUUUAGAUGGCGAUAGAUAAUUGAGCUAGUUCAAUCUCCUUUCUAAUCACAAAGUCAAGAAACUUAAAUCCCCCCUUUUUUCUUGUUAUUAGGAAAAACAUAUGACAUUCAAUGUUCAAUCUACCAAUCCUAUGUUGAUGCACAACUGAGUGUAGCACUGAAAAAUUGAAAAUUUGAUGGCGAUAGAUAAUUGAGCUAGUUCAAUCUCCCUUCUAAUCACAAAGUCAACGAAACUUAAAACUGAAAUCAAUUUCCAACAGGUUUUCUUCCCAAUUAUUAUCAACAAGUGAAGAAAAUUGUCAAUAAAUUGUGAUCUUUCUAACACAUUUUUCUUACUGAAACCACCUGCCUAUUUCUCCAUUAAGACAUAUUUUCAGUGGUGACAAAUUUUCACGUCACUUUUAAACAACUAGGGGGUCAACGUAGCUUUAAGUUUCCGAUAUAAAUUGACCUGCUUGAAUUACAGUGUCGAGGUGACAGAACACUAUGCAUAUAAUUAGGGUGCUUAGAAUCUCGGAGCAUUCAAUUAUUUUCAAGCUACUGAGGACAAUUUUGAUUUAAUCUGUAAUGGAGCGGAAAGCAUAUAACGCCAAAUUCAAUAAUCGUAACAAAAGCUAAAGCAGAGUGACCACUCGUUUAUUUUUAUUUGUCACGAUGGAAAUGCAAUAAAAACGCUGUCGUGAGAACUUAUUUAAAUACAAUUGUCCACUAUUAUUCGGCCCUGAUUACUAAUCCAUGCUGGAAUGUCCCUAAUAAAUUUAAUUAUAUCAAUUUCUAAGCAAUUCUAUUAGAAAAACUAUCCAAGAUAUUUUUGUAAAUACUUCACAAUGGUAAUGGGUUUUCACACUUCAGAGUCAAUUAGAUAUAUAUAUAUAUAUAUGCUCCAUCUGGUUAACAGGAAAAUAAUUCAUUGAACACAAUAUACUGCUAUUUUAUAAAAAUACUGAUGACAAUUGUAGAAGGUUGGUCGUUGUACAGGUAUAAAAUGACAGGAGUCAGUUUCACAAAAAAAUUUACCACUUAGAUUGAUCGUAAGUAACACUGAAUUGUUCAUGACUUAUCAUCAAUCAUUCUAAAUAGUAAGUUAUUUUGUGAAACGGACUUUAGGUAUCUAAAUCAAUCAUGGAUUUACAGUACAUAUACAGCUGUUGGUCAAAGCUUAUACAGUGGUGGAUCCAGGGGGGGAGAGUUCAGGGGGUUGGAACCUCCCCCCUUUUUUUGGAACAAUCUAUACAUCCAAAUUGGGACAUAGGGUUGGAACCCCACCCUUUAAUCCUGUGUUCUUCAACAUGAAUAUUUAUUUUUUGACAUUUUUCAGUUUUGAUUUUGUUAUUGUAGCUUUUUUGUGUGUGUGUUUUUUUAAGGGGGAGGGGGUCUCUAUAUAUCUUUUAGAUUUAUCUUUUUUUUUUUGGUUUCUGCUUUAUUGGCAUUUCAUCAAAUUCUCCCUUCAUUCCCGUAACAAUUACAAUGUGAUCCACAUCAGCACUCAAUCAAUCACAUCAAAUUUCAUUUUCUAGAUACAUUGAUGUUUGUCUUGUUCUAAUUGGGUUUUUUUUGUUAAAGUUUUUUCUUUAAAAUGGGGGGGGGGGUUGUUCUAAUGACUUCUUCUACUCAAUGUCUCAUGAUUAUUCUUACAUACUCUUCAGCAUAAUAAUAAUUUUGUCAAAUUUAUGCUAACUACGAGUUUUUAAAAUUCUGUACAUUUCUAUUUUCUUGGGCAUAUAAUACAUAAUCAGUGCCUGAGAAUAUGAAGUACUUCAAACAACUGCUGCCAGCUCUGACAAGACACAGAUAUAUGCCCAUUAAGAUAAGAAUAUAUGCAAUCCAAUGAUAAGAUACAAUUACAUAGAAUUCCAAUGACUUAAUGCAAUGUAAAGAUUGAGUGACAGACCAAGGCUCACAGUUAAUAAACAAGUUAAAGGCCAUCUCAAUGUUUUCUCAACAAAUCUAGGGGUCAUCUCAAAGAGUUUUUCUGAUUCAUUAAAUAUUGUUAAACAUUUUAAUGUAUAACAGAAAUUAAGUGAAGAAAAAGUAGAUGCUGACCCCUGAAUUUGUUUAUUUUCCUGAGUGUUUAAUUUGUGGAUUGAAAAAAAAUUUUUGAAAUUUUUAUAUUUUUGUCAAAGGGUCAAAGUAAACAUUUUGUCAAAAUUUUAUGAAAAUUAAACUAGCCAAAUUAAUAUUAGUCAAUGUGUUAGGUACCACCUUAAAUUUGGUGGAUAUUUUCAUGUGUUUGCCAAAGUAUGCAUAACUAAGUUGAUAGGAAAUGCGUACAUCAUUAAUUUUUUAAAUGUGGUUAACCUGUACGUGUACCAACAAAAUCCCAAAAAUGUAUAUUCUGACUUGGAAGAAUAAUCAAUCCAUAGAAGCCAAAAAAUUACUUAUUUGAAAAUUGUUUUCUUGCAGAAAAUUAAAUUGAU
rnacentral:lncRNA from 1 species